GGGCGGUUAGCUCAGGUGGCUAGAGUGCUUGCUUGACAUGCAAGAGGUCAUUGGUUCAAAUCCAUUACCGCCCACCA
rnacentral:tRNA from 1 species